rnacentral:rRNA from 1 species
GCGCGGAAGAUGUAACGGGGCUAAACCAUGCACCGAAGCUGCGGCAGCGACGCUUAUGCGUUGUUGGGUAGGGGAGCGUUCUGUAAGCCUGCGAAGGUGUGCUGUGAGGCAUGCUGGAGGUAUCAGAAGUGCGAAUGCUGACAUAAGUAACGAUAAAGCGGGUGAAAAGCCCGCUCGCCGGAAGACCAAGGGUUCCUGUCC